rnacentral:lncRNA from 1 species
ACCGUCUUCGCGCGGCCCGUCCCGCCCCGGCCACCGUCGCCGGGCCGCCGCCACGUUCCAGAGGAGGGCGGACGGAUUCCACAUGUAAGAGAAAACGUGAGACCCGUCUUUCCGAAUCUGGCUUAACAUAAUGAUCUUCACUUCCAUCCAUUUUACUGCAGAUGACAUGAUUUCAUUUUCCUUUAUGGCUGAAUAAUACUCUAUUGUAUGCCCUCUGUCCCUUAGGAUUAUGAAGGUUGAAGGAUUAUGAAGGCUUCUUCUGGAUCCCAACAGUGGUGCAACCAUAAUUGGUGCCUGAGGCUAAAAAUGUGGCCUUCAUAAGAUGUUCAGACUUAAUAAAAUGUUUUAUUUUUCACAAAGGAUCAGAGUAUUUUUCCUAUCAUAAUUUAAUUUUUAUUCCUUUCACUGUUCAUAACGUUUUGGAAGCCCAAGUCUGAAGUUUGUUUUUUUUUUCACCCACAAUUCCUUUGUUAAAUGAGUUACUGGCUUAUAGUGUUAUGUGACACUCUUAAAUGCUGGGAUGCCUUCAGAGGAUAAAAGAGUGGUGUAUUUUUUUCUGCUCUCUCCAUCAAAUAGAUGAAAUCUACAAAUUAGGGAAAAUUAACCUUUCAGUUUUUCCUUUCCCAUUCACCCCUUUGCAGUGAUGAAUGGAAUGCAUUCAAAUCUCUGCAUAGAAGGUUCGUAUUUAGUGCAGUGAGUGACAGGCUCUGAUCAGCUGUGACCUAAUUAAUGCAUCACAUGUCUCCUAAGAAUCUUUUUGUUUAUAUAUGCACCGUCUUCUGUAGAUAACUUUUAAAAAUAACCAAUGUUUAAACUUUUUGCUAAUGCCAUUUUUGUUGGCCCAUUUCUUCUUUCUAAUGUUUUGGGAAGACAAGUUGUCAGAGUCUGUUGGAAAUUUUCCUUUAGUGGAGGAGAAGGUAGACUCCUGGGACUGGACUGAGAUUUUCAGAACAUUUUGGUUCAUAAACAACAUUGGAAGAGAACCACGCUGGUUCAAGAUCUGUCAUUACCAACACAGAGAAAAAUUCCUUCCCCUCUCCCUCAGCACUCAUUUUGCUCAGUAUCUGACACAGCCUGCUCUUAUCUCCACUGGCCUGGCCCAGAGUUCUUAGCUUCAGUUGGUGAAUUGAUGAGUCCCUUGUGGUAUAUCACUCUACACUGUCUCCCCCACCCCUUCCUCCCUGAAAUGAUGGGAUACUUCUGUGAGCACCAGUACUAUCCUUGUGUUUUAUUUCUGCCUAAAAACCAGUAUCCUAUAACCCAGGCACGGAGGUCCUCACGAGAAAUCAAUGCUACUUUGAUGUUGCUCAUUUUAUUAGCCUUCUAGAACUGCAUAACAAAAUAUGAUAGCCAGUAUGGCUUAAACAACAGAAAUUUAUUUCUCACAGUCUGGACCCUGAAAAUCCAAGAUCAAGGUGCUAG